AGUCUGCAGGGCCUCUCUGGGCACUGACCUAGGAUAGAGUUGAGGUGCGGCAGCGCUGGACACCAGGGACCCUGCCUGCCUCCUGGGGAGCGGGGUGACCCAGGCAGCCCCGGUGAGGCCGCGAAUGUCUGGGCCCUACCUAGCAAGGCUGCUGGGCUCCCAUGGGACUGAUGCGGACAGUGAGGCCAGGGAGGCCCUGCUGCCCUCGGACUGUCCCUCCAGCCCCCAGCUUUCCGUGGUUCUAAGGGCCCCCUCUGCAGAGGGACCAGGGAGCCCGCCCUGCAUCCUGAGGCGCCGCACUGGAGGGACCCCAGAGCUCUGGUCAGGCCGCUUCCUUUGUGAAUCGCAAAGCUGAGGUCCACACGAGGGCAGAGGCAGGUCCUGACAGCUUCCCAGGCAAAGAGAGGCGAUCCUGGAGCUGGGGUCACACGGCUCCAGUCCUGCAACCUCUAGGGCCCUAGAGGUGGGAGGAGAGACUGGGGCCUUUCGUCCACCGCUGGGUCUGGGCACAGGCUCAGCCUGUGCCACAACGUGAAGCUGCUUCUGUGCAGUCCAAGCCGCGGCCCCUUUAAGAGGGGGGUGGUGCGUCAGCCAGUCGUUAGGGACGCUGCUGGCGUGCGCACUCUACGGAAGCCGAGACGGCGCUUCCCACGGAGCCCCAGAAGCCGUGGCAUCUUUGAAGGGAGCAGAUGCAGCAGCGGUGUGGUUGGAGCCAGCGAAAGCAGCGGCCAAAGGCGGCGGCGAGGUCCAACCGAGCAGAAGCGGAGUCGGUAUCUGAGCGAGCAGAAGAGGUGGUGCAGUCCCAGCCAGCAGAAGUGGCGGCAUUAUGGUCCCAGCCAGUGGAAGCGGCGGCCAGAGGCUGCGGUGUAAUCCUACUGAGCAGAAGAGGAGUAGGCGUCUCAGCAAGCAGUAUGGGCAGCGUCUACAAGUGGCGGCGCAGUCCCAGCUGGCAGAAGUGGAGACAGUGUUCCAGCGAGCAAAGCGGCAGCGUCCAGAAGCUGCGGGCAGGGUCCCAGCCAGCAGAAGCGGAGUCGGCGUCCCAGCGAGCAGACGUGGCCGCGCGGUCCCAGUGAGCUUCGGAGAAGCAGUGGUGGCUUCCAGGUGAUGGGGGAGCAGGAGGCAGGUCUCCCUGGUUUAUCUGGGUUGCUCCACAGGACACUGUUUCAUCAUUUUGGUGGCCAAAGAAUAUUCCCUAGUGUAUGCAUAUGAGAAUUUCUUGAUCCCUUUAUCUGUGGAUGGACAGCUUUUAGGAGAUGAAGAUGUUUUCAGUCUGCAUGCCUGAGAUCGUGUGGAAUGGGACUUUCUCUACCAGGCUCAUUCGUUGGACCCAAUGUUCUCCAGGUUUCUUCAUGUGGCUGCAGAUGGCAGGAUUUUCCAGAGCUUUAUGGCUGGAACAUACUCUGUGGUGUAUCUGUACAGCAGUUUCUUCAUCUCUGCAGCUGUGUGUGGACAGGUCAUAUACUGUGAUGUCCUUCAGGUUCAACAGUGUGGCUCCAAAUGAUGAAAUUUCAUUCUGGUUUUCUAGCUGAAGACGAUUCUAUUUGUGCACAUAUACCAGGUAUCCCUUCAUCUGUGGAUGGGCAGGUUUUUCCAAGUGGCUGCAAGUGAUGAGAUUUCACCCAUUUCUAUGAUUGAAGAAUAUUCUGCUCUGUAUGUAUAUUGCAGUUUCCUCAUCCCUUCAUCAAUGGAUGAACAGUCUAUCAUUGAUGGGCAUGUGGGUUGGUCCCAUGCCUUUCCUAUUGUGAAUAAUGCUGUAAAAAACAUACGUGGAGCAGAUGGUGCUCAGAGCAAGAUGGGCCUCUGAGCAAGAUGGAGCUCCAAGCAUGAUGGAGCUUGGAUAGAGCAGAUAGAGCUCCAGGGGAGAUGGAGCUCUGAGCAGUAUGAACCUCACAGCAGAUGGACCUCUGAACAAGAUGGAGCUUCAAGCAUGAUUGAGCUUGGAUGGAGCAGAUGAAACUCCAGGUGAGAUGGAGCUCUGAGCAUUAUGAACCUCACAGCAGAUGUUAUGCAGAGUAACAUGGAGCUCCAAGCAUAUGGUCUCAGGGCAAAAUGGAGCUCAGAGCAGAUGGUGCUCAGAGCAGGAUGGAGCUUGGAGUGACUAGAGCUCCAACCUAGAAGAAGAUUCAAGCAGAUAAUGUUCACAGCAAGAGGGAACUCAGAGUAAUUGGAGCUCCGAGCAAGACAGAACCCAGAGCAGAUGGGGCUUAGAGCAGAUGGUGCUCAGAGCAAAAUGGAGCUAGGAGUGAUUAGAACUAUGAGCAAGAUGGAGCUCAGAGCAGAUGAAGCUCUGAGCAAAUUGUACCCAGAGCAAUAUGGAGCUCAGAAUAGAUGGUGCUUAGAAUAAGUUGGAGCACCAAGAAUAUGGUGCUCAGAGCAAGGUGGAGCUCAGAAUGGUUGGAGGUCAGAACAGAAGGAGCUAGCAGAUGUUGCUCCUAGUAAGAUGAAGUUCUUAGCAGAUGGUACUCAGAGCAAGCUGGAGCUCCAAGCAGAUGGUACUCAGAGUAAGAUGGACCUAAGAAUGAUUAGAACUCCAAGAAAGAUAAUGCUCUGUGCAGAUGAUGCUUAGAGCAAGAUAGAGCUCAGAGUGACUGGAGAUCUGAGCAAGAUGAAGUACCUCCAAGUGAGAUGGAGCUUUGAGCAGAUGUUGCUUGGUGUAAGAUGGAGCUCGAAGCAAGAUGGAGCUUGGAGUGAUUGGAACUGUGAACAUUGCUCUGAGCAAUUGGAACUCUGAGCAAGAUGGAUCUCUGAGGAAGAAAGAGCUCGAAGCAAGUUGGAGCUUGGAGUGAUUGGAACUGUGAACACUGCUCUGAGCAAUUGGAACUCUGAGCAAGAUGGAUCUCUGAGGAAGAAGGAGCUCUAAGCAAGAUGGAGCUUGGAGCAGAUGUUCCUUGGUUUUAGAUGGAGCUCAGAGAAGACGGACUUCAGAGCAGAUAGAGCACUGAACAAAAAGGAGCAAUGAGCAAGAUGGAACUUGGAGCAGAUGUUGCUUUGUUAAGAUGGAGCUCAGAGCAGAUGGUGCUCAGAGCAACAUGGAGCUCAGAGUGAUUGAGAUGUAAAACAUUGCUCUGAGAGAUUGGAGCUCUGAGCACAUGGUGCUCGGAGCAACAUGGAGCUCUUAGUGAUUGGAACUUCGAACACAAUGGGGCUUGGAGCAAAUGCAGCUCUGAGCAACAUUUAGCCCAGAAAACAUGUUGCUCAGAGUAAGAUGGAGCUUGAGCAGAUGGUGCUCAGAGUGAAGUUGGAAGUGAUUGGCACUCUCAGCAAAAUGGAGCUUGGAGCAGAUGGAUCUCUGAGCAAGAUUGAGCUUGGAGCAGAUGAAGCUCUGAGCAAGAAGGAGCUCUAAGCAAGAUAGAGCUUGGAGCAAGUGUUGCUUGGUUUCAGAUGGAGCUCAGAACAAAUGGUGCUCAGAGAAAGAGGGAGCUCAGAGAACAUGCUGCUCACAGUAAGAUGGCACUUCGAGCAGAUGGUUCUCAGAGCAGAAUGGAGCUGGAAGCGAUUGGAGACCUCAGCAAGAUGGGGCUAGGAGAAGUUGAAGCUCCAAGCAGAUGGAGCUCUGAGCAGAGGGUGCUCAGAGCAAGAUGGAGCUUGGAACAAAUGGAGCUUCAAGCAGAUGGUGCUCAGAGCAAAAUGGAGCUCAGAAUAAUGGGAGCUCUAAGCAAGUUGGAGCUUGGAGCUUCAAGCAGAUGGUGCUCAGAGCAAAAUGGAGCUCAGAGUAAUGGGAGCUCUGAGCAAGAUGGAGCUUGGAGCAAAUGGAGCUUCAGGCAGAUCGUGCUCAGAGCAAGAUGGAGCUUGGAAUGAUUGGAGCUCCGAACCAUAUGGAGCUUGGAUCAGAUAGACCUCUGAGCAAGAAGGAGCUCCAAGCAAGAUGGAGCUUGUAGCAGAUAUUGCUGGUAUAAGAUGGAACUCUGAGCAGCUGGUGCUCAGAGCAAGAGGGAGCUUGGAUUGAUUGGCACUCUGAACAUUGCUCUGAGCAAUUGGAGCUCAGAGUAAGAUGAGCUCUGACCAGAUGGUGUUCAGAGAAAAAUGGAGCCUGAAGUGAUUGGAGCCCCCAGCAAGAUGGAGCUCAGAGUGAUUGGAACUCCAAGCAAGAUGGAGCUUGGAGUAUAUGGAUCUCCGACUAGAUGGAGCUCCAAGUAAGGUAAAUGUCUAUGCAGAUGGUGCUCAGAGCAAGAUACUUCUUGGAGUGAUUGGAGCUCCAAGCAAGAUGGAGCUUGGAGCAGAUGAAGCUCUGAGCAAGAAGGAUUUUGGAGUAGAUAGAGCUUGGAGCAAGAAGGAGCUCUAUUGCAGCAGAUGAAGCUCGGUGUAAGAUAGAGCUCAGAGAUGAUGAUGCUCAAGAAAGCUUGAGCUCAGAGUGAUUGGCACUCCAAACAUUACUCUGAGCCAUUAGACCUCAAAGCAGAUCAUGCUCAGAGCAAGAUGGGGCUCAGAGUGAUGAACUUUGAGCAAGCUGGAGCUGGUAACAGAUGGAGCUUGGAAAAGGUGUUGCUUAGCAUAAGAUGGUGCUCAGAGCAAGAUGAAGCUCAGAGUGAUUGGAACUCCCAGCAAGUUUGAACUCAGAGCAGAUGGACCUUCAAGCAAGACAGAACUCAGAGAUGUUGCUCACAGAAAGAUGGGGCUCUGUGCAGACAGCACUCAGGGCAUAAACACCCGACAUUUGUUUUUUGCAAUCUUCACAGAAGGAAAUUCUAGCAAAUUUUAGUACCAAACUUCUAGAGAAGGAGCAGAUCAGAUCUUUAUUGGCUGCAUAUACUAUGAUGACCAUCAUAGAAUCACCUUGCAAUGGAACAUUUACAGUUUAGGUAUCAACAGAAUAUAGAAUCCAAGAGAAGACUUAAGGAUUCCUACCUCAAGCUCAUUGUCUUCAAAUAGCAGAAGGGAGAUCUACUUAUCAAAGGUUAGUUUUAGUGUUUCUUUUCCUUUGGUUUUCAGAUUUCUAAUAUAAUUCUUGUAUUUUCUGUUAACAGAUCAGGGCAGAUCCAGGAGCACAUUAGAGAUCUUAUAAACUCAGGUGUCUUACCUUUAGGAAAGGGCUACUAAGGGUUGGCUCUGCUGGGUUGUCACCUGGUCUUCAUUCUCAUGGCUCUUCCCUUUCCUGGGACUCCUGGCUUUUAUCUUCAUUCUCCUUUUUGGCCCUUGCUUUCUGAAUCUUCUAAGUUUGUUUCCUCGCACCUAGAAACCAUCAUACUUCCAAUGGUCUUGUGAUGGUGAUAUCAACCUCUUUCUUUCCCUCCAGGACACCAAGUUCCUACAUGUCUCAUCUGGACACCAUGGGUCAGACCUUCCAAGAGACAACAAAAAUCACUGAAACCUCAUGACAGCAAGCAAGGAGGAAGGAUCCUGAAGACCCAUGAUGGCCCCUUUCAGCAGGAAGUAGAUACAGAGAAUGAAUUCUGCCCCAUCUACCAAAAGAUUUCUGGGUCCCAACUCCUUGAGGAAAAAAAUGUAAGAGUAGACAGAUAUGAGCAGAAGAAGGGGGAGGUAUCCAUGUUGGAAAGAAUAUCCUGGAACAUGUCUUAGAAUGCCCAGUACUCACUCUAUGGUCUAACUGUCAGAAUGUUGUUAACUAGAUCCUCAUAAAGAAGGAAAAGGGCAAAAGGGAAUUCCUGAGAGCUGAGCAGGUACAAUGGGUACAAAACUGACUGCUUUACCUUCCUGGGGUGGCAGUAAUAAGCAGGGCCACCAUUAGAUAGAAUUCUUACUGAUCACUGGUUUCUGUGCCUGUGCAUUAAGCACAGUAAGGGAAGAUCCCUCAACCUUUGGUGAGAACUGGAUAAACAAAGAACUGAGGCAACAGAAGAUCACAAUGCACAAUGUCAUGGUGGUGUUUCCAGCAGGGUCAGCCCACUCCUCUCCUGGAGUGUGUUUGUACUUCCCAAUAAAACUUUUGCUGGGUUUACAAAUUA